UACGGAGGUGGCAAGCGUUGUUCGGAAUUACUGGGCGUAAAGGGCGCGUAGGCGGCAAGGCAAGUCAGGUGUGAAAGCCCCGAGCUUAACUCGGGAAUUGCAUCUGAAACCGCUGUGCUUGAGUUCUGGAGGGGGUAGUGGAAUUCCCAGUGUAGCGGUGAAAUGCGUAGAUAUUGGGAGGAACACCUGCGGCGAAGGCGGCUACCUGGACAGAAACUGACGCUGAGGCGCGAAAGCUAGGGGAGCGAACGGG
rnacentral:rRNA from 1 species